GUCUUUGAAAACAUUUUUUCACAAAUCUAAACAACAAUAAAAUGUUUAUUUUAACAACCUCAGUGAAUACUCAAUGGAUGAAACAGAUAUGUCGCCGGGCUGAGUACGAGGCAGGCAAAAGCAGAGGACUUGAAAAAUUCCCGUAGAGUGCGUAGCUUGCAUAUAUGCAGGCGGACGCAGGACGAACGCGUCAUAAAACAACAAGGACAGAGCACCAAAAAUAUUUACAAAAAAAAAUACGCUUAAAUGCAAUUUUUGGCAUAUUUCUUUUUCGACUCAUAUGCAUGCGGCGCCUGUGAUUUACGAUGAUGCAAAAGGAACUCGAAACAGCAGGACGAAAUGCAGCCAGACAGUUGCUUAAUGCUCUUUGAAGUGCAACAUGCAUCCGGCGCCGCGGUGGGCAAUUAAAAGUCAAUCCAAUAAAGCCACCAAAGUGCAAUUCAUACAUCGUUAAAUAGCCCCUCCAGCGCAACACUCGCAGCUUGCCCAGCAUCAAAGCCCCGUCGGUAUUGCUGGCGGGCAUUGAAACUGGAGCUCGAGCCGAAAUUGUGACCCGCCAAUGUGAUGGGAGUUUUAUGUUCUAUUUAUGUUGUGCAAACGAUGCCCCAUAAUCGUAAAAAUAUCAAAACAAAUCGUUAAAAUCGAUCGUCGUGACGUUGUCGUCAUUUGGCGCUGCUUCCUCGAUUCGAACUCACAUUCAGAUUCAGAUUCUCGAGUCGGGGCCCAAGAAUGUGAACGGCUUCAUUUGCGGAGUUUGGAGUAGCGUUUGGGGCGCCCACGGCUGUCGAUAUCCACAUAGAUGUUUCGUUUCGUAAGUGGCGCGGGUCGACGCGUGUCAAUUGAGUUGCUUUGCUCCCGCGCUUAUUUGUAUUUGAUAUUGAAAGUAUCCAAGCGUGUGUGUGUGUGCGUGCGCCCGCCCAUAAACAACAUGCCACUGGGGCAUGCUACGUCGUUGGCAACACCAAUGCCAGCCAAAAGGAGCUCAUAAAUUUUGUGACUUAAUUAAGUUGGCAACACUUGAAAAUUAUUUGAAUUUUUA
rnacentral:sRNA from 1 species